GAUGAACGCUGGCGGCGUGCCUAAUACAUGCAAGUCGAGCGAACAGACGAGGAGCUUGCUCCUCUGAUGUUAGCGGCGGACGGGUGAGUAACACGUGGAUAACCUACCUAUAAGACUGGGAUAACUUCGGGAAACCGGAGCUAAUACCGGAUAAAAUGUUGAACCGCAUGGUUCAACAGUGAAAGACGGUCUUGCUGUCACUUAUAGAUGGAUCCGCGCCGCAUUAGCUAGUUGGUAAGGUAACGGCUUACCAAGGCAACGAUGCGUAGCCGACCUGAGAGGGUGAUCGGCCACACUGGAACUGAGACACGGUCCAGACUCCUACGGGAGGCAGCAGUAGGGAAUCUUCCGCAAUGGGCGAAAGCCUGACGGAGCAACGCCGCGUGAGUGAAGAAGGUCUUCGGAUCGUAAAACUCUGUUAUUAGGGAAGAACAAAUGUGUAAGUAACUAUGCACGUCUUGACGGUACCUAAUCAGAAAGCCACGGCUAACUACGU
rnacentral:rRNA from 1 species